rnacentral:rRNA from 1 species
CCCUUAGAUGUUCUGGGCCGCACGCGCGCUACAAUGAUGCAGGCAACGAGUGCCGCUCCUUAGCCGAAAGGCUUGGGGAAUCUUGAAAACUGCAUCGUGCUAGGGAUAGAUGAUUGCAAUCGUGCAUCUUGAACGAGGAAUGCCUUGUAAGCGUGAGUCAUCAACUCGCGCUGAAUACGUCUCUGCCCUUUGUACACACCGCCCGUCGCUCCUACCGAUUGGAUGGUCCGGUGAACUGGUCGGACUGCUGUUUGAAAUUGCGGGUGCAGUUGAUUCACGGGAAGUCUAGUAAACCUUAUCAUCUAGAGGAAGGAGAAGUCGUAACA